UAUUAUUUUUUUAAUAAAAAAUUAAUUCUAAAUUAAUAAAUUUAAAUUUAAUAAAAAGAAAAAAAUUGGCAGUGUUUUUAUUAAUUAGAGGAAUUUGUUCUUUAAUUGAUAAACCACAAUAAAUUAAACUUAUUUUAAAAAUUUGUAUAUCGUUAUUAUUAAUAAUUUUUAAAGAAAAUUAUUUAAAUAAAUAAUUUUCUUGAAAUAUUAAAUCAAGAUACAGUAAAUAAAUAAGGGUGAAAUGAAUUACAUUAAUAUAAUAUUUUCGGAAAAUUAUUUGUAAUAAUAUUAUAAAGGAGGAUUUAAUAGUAAUUAUUUAAAAAUUUAAUUAAUGAAAAUUUUUAAAAAUAUGUACAUAUUGUCCGUCACUUUUAAAAAUUAUUAAAAUAA
rnacentral:rRNA from 1 species